rnacentral:rRNA from 1 species
GACGAAGGUGGCAAGCGUUGUUCGGAAUCACUGGGCAUAAAGCGCACGUAGGCGGCCAAGUAAGUCGGGUGUGAAAGCCCUCGGCUCAACCGAGGAAUUGCGCCCGAUACUGCAUGGCUUGAGGUCCGGAGGGGAGAGUGGAAUUCCCGGUGGAGCGGUGAAAUGCGUAGAGAUCGGGAAGAACGCCGGCGGCGAAAGCGACUCUCUGGUCGGAAUCUGACGCUGAGGUGCGAAAGCUAGGGGAGCAAACAGGAUUAGAACGUCCG